CUGUCGCGACAAGGAGCAGAGGGGGUGGAGAGGCUUGAGUCAGAGCUGAAGAGGAGCAGAAAAGAAGCGGUCCUGCUCCUCUUCCUCCCACUCUUCCUCUUCCUCUCUCUGCUCAGACAUGGCUGACCCCUCCAAGCGGACCUCCACACCUCCUCCUGACCCAGCCUUCCCCUCCGGACCGCUUUACAGCGCUCCGAACCUGGGCCGCUGCCCCCGCCUCCCCGGGCCUUCCCUGAGCGGCAGACUCCCAUUAGGAGUGAACGGAGCGAGCGGCAGCGGCGCGGCGCCGCGCGCGGAAUGCCGCCUGGUGGAAGUUCACGGGCUGCAGGUGGCCUCCUUCACGGUGGACGGAGCGGAGCUCAUCUGCCUGCCGCAGGUCUUCGAGCUCUUCCUCAAGCACCUGGUGGGGGGGCUGCACACCGUCUACACCAAGCUGAAGCGCCUGCGCAUUAGCCCCGUGGUGUGCACCGUGGAGCAGGUGCGCGUCCUGCGCGGCCUGGGAGCCAUCCAGCCCGGCGUGAACCGCUGCAAGCUGAUCAGCAGGGCCGACUUCGAGACGCUGUACCGGGACUGCACCUGCGCCAGCUCUCGACCGGGUCGUCCUCCAAAGAGAAGUCUGGGUUUGGCCAACAUGAGCGACGGCUCCAGGCUCCUCCCACACGCUCUGCUUAGCCCCGCCCUCCUGUCGCAGACAGGUCUGACAGCAGCAAUGGCUGAAGCUCUGAAGAUGCACAAGAUGAGGUUGAUGAUGCUGCGUUUCCAUGGAAACGGCGACCAGCAGCUACAGCAAAGCGAACCAGAGUCGGAGAAUGACGACACGGGAGGCAGUGAAGGAUCAUGGGAGAAGGACCACCACCUCCUCUCUCCUGCCUCUUCGAUUGUAGCUCCCCCUGCUGGUUCUAUUUGCUUCAGCACUCUUCGGCAGCACCGCUCCCUAUUGGCUAACCGGCUAACAGAUCUUCCUUUUAUGGUCAUGCCACACCCACUACUUCCUGUUGGUCUCCCUCCUGCUAGUGUUGCCAUGGCAAUGAACAAGAUGAGUCAGCUGAGUAGUUUAGCUCACAUGACUGCCGUAUCGCAGACAGAAGACAACAAGGAUUCUCCUAAGGGAGGCUCCUCCCUCUGCCCCACUCCCAGUGAUGAGGACCUCCACUUCCAGGAACCAACGAGCCAAUCACCUUCCAGAGUAUCUUCAUCCUUGUCUUCCUCACCUCCUCCGGCACAGACACCAGAGCUGGAUGACAGCGCUUUGCCCCUCCCCCUGCUCCAGCCAACCAAUGAGAACGCGCUACUCGCCCAGCCGCCAUCAUUGAACCACAUCAGCAACUCCUUAGCCCCGCUCCUAUUGGCCGAGGGCCUGUCCUCCAUGGAGACGCUGCUGACCAACAUACAGGGCCUCCUGAAGGUGGCGGUGGAGAGCGCUCGCUCUCAGAGCAAACAGAACCAGAGGGAGAGCAGAGAGUUAAAGCUGGAGCUGGACAGAGAGCGAGACGUGAGACGGACUGUGCAGAGACAGCUGAGCUGCGAACUGGAGACACAAGGUAGGACGGCUGAUACCUGCCGCCACAGGUGAGACAGGUGAGACAGGUGGGUCAGGUGAAGGAGAGAUAGGUGGGUCAGGUGAAGGAGAGACAGGUGGGUCAGGUAAAGGUGGGUCAGGUACGGGUAGGUCAGAGAAAACAGGUGAGACAGGUAGGUGGAGGUAAAGGUCGGAGGGUUAGGUCAGGGAAGACAGGUGAGGGAGAGACAGGUGGGUGAAUGUGAGACAGGUACAGGUGGGUCAGGUGCAGGAGAGACAGGUGGGUCAGGUGAAGGAGAGACAGGUGGGUCAGGUAAAGGAGAGACAGGUAAAGGAGAGACAGGUGGGUCAGGUAAAGGAGAGACAGGUGGGUCAGGUAAAAGUGGGUCAGGUACGGGUAGGUCAGAGAAAACAGGUGAGACAGGUAGGUGGAGGUAAAGGUCGGAGGGUUAGGUCAGGGAAGACAGGUGAGGGAGAGACAGGUGGGUGAAGGUGAGACAGGUACAGGUGGGUCAGGUGCAGGAGAGACAGGUGGGUCAGGUGAAGGAGAGACAGGUGGGUCAGGUAAAGGAGAGACAGGUGGGUCAGGUAAAGGAGAGACAGGUAAAGGAGAGACAGGUG